rnacentral:rRNA from 1 species
AACCUACCUCGGAUCAGACGAGACUAAACCAUAUCAGUAAGCGGAGCAAAAAGAAACAGGAAAAGAAACA